GAUUGGGGCUGCCAGGGCCACAGCAAGGACAGGGCAGGAGACCAAUCUGGCAGAAGUUGCAUGGUGAUCAGAGGACAAGACAACAGGAAAGAGAUGAGCAAUACAUGAGCAAGAGAGAAGAUUGUGUUUUGCUGAGUCAGGCCACUAGGAAAACAGCAAAGG